GACGGAGGGUGCAAGCGUUGUUCGGAAUUACUGGGCGUAAAGGGCGCGUAGGCGGUCUGCUAAGUUCGGUGUGAAAUCCCCUGGCUCAACUGGGGAACUGCGCCGGAAACUGGCAGACUAGAGUAGCGGAGAGGAGGGUGGAAUUCCUGGUGUAGCGGUGAAAUGCGUAGAUAUCAGGAGGAACACCGGUGGCGAAGGCGGCCCUCUGGACGGAUACUGACGCUGAGGCGCGAAAGCGUGGGGAGCAAACAGG
rnacentral:rRNA from 1 species